rnacentral:rRNA from 1 species
UGAACGCUAGCUACAGGCUUAACACAUGCAAGUCGAGGGGCAGCAUGGUCUUAGCUUGCUAAGACUGAUGGCGACCGGCGCACGGGUGAGUAACACGUAUCCAACCUGCCGUCUACUCUUGGACAGCCUUCUGAAAGGAAGAUUAAUACAAGAUGGCAUCAUGAGUCCGCAUGUUCACAUGAUUAAAGGUAUUCCGGUAGACGAUGGGGAUGCGUUCCAUUAGAUAGUAGGCGGGGUAACGGCCCACCUAGUCUUCGAUGGAUAGGGGUUCUGAGAGGAAGGUCCCCCACAUUGGAACUGAGACACGGUCCAAACUCCUACGGGAGGCAGCAGUGAGGAAUAUUGGUCAAUGGGCGAGAGCCUGAACCAGCCAAGUAGCGUGAAGGAUGACUGCCCUAUGGGUUGUAAACUUCUUUUAUAAAGGAAUAAAGUCGGGUAUGGAUACCCGUUUGCAUGUACUUUAUGAAUAAGGAUCGGCUAACUCCGUGCCAGCAGCCGCGGUAAUACGGAGGAUCCGAGCGUUAUCCGGAUUUAUUGGGUUUAAAGGGAGCGUAGAUGGAUGUUUAAGUCAGUUGUGAAAGUUUGCGGCUCAACCGUAAAAUUGCAGUUGAUACUGGAUAUCUUGAGUGCAGUUGAGGCAGGCGGAAUUCGUGGUGUAGCGGUGAAAUGCUUAGAUAUCACGAAGAACUCCGAUUGCGAAGGCAGCCUGCUAAGCUGCAACUGACAUUGAGGCUCGAAAGUGUGGGUAUCAAACAGGAUUAGAUACCCUGGUAGUCCACACGGUAAACGAUGAAUACUCGCUGUUUGCGAUAUACUGCAAGCGGCCAAGCGAAAGCGUUAAGUAUUCCACCUGGGGAGUACGCCGGCAACGGUGAAACUCAAAGGAAUUGACGGGGGCCCGCACAAGCGGAGGAACAUGUGGUUUAAUUCGAUUAUACGCGAGGAACCUUACCCGGGCUUAAAUUGCAGAUGAAUUACGGUGAAAGCCGUAAGCCGCAAGGCAUCUGUGAAGGUGCUGCAUGGUUGUCGUCAGCUCGUGCCGUGAGGUGUCGGCUUAAGUGCCAUAACGAGCGCAACCCUUGUUGUCAGUUACUAACAGGUUCCGCUGAGGACUCUGACAAGACUGCCAUCGUAAGAUGUGAGGAAGGUGGGGAUGACGUCAAAUCAGCACGGCCCUUACGUCCGGGGCUACACACGUGUUACAAUGGGGGGUACAGAGGGCCGCUACCACGCGAGUGGAUGCCAAUCCCCAAAACCUCUCUCAGUUCGGACUGGAGUCUGCAACCCGACUCCACGAAGCUGGAUUCGCUAGUAAUCGCGCAUCAGCCACGGCGCGGUGAAUACGUUCCCGGGCCUUGUACACACCGCCCGUCAAGCCAUGGGAGCCGGGGGUACCUGAAGUGCGUAACCGCGAGGAGCGCCCUAGGGUAAAACUGGUGACUGGGGCUAAG